GAUGAACGCCGGCGGCGUGCCUAAUACAUGCAAGUCGAGCGGCAGCACGGGUGCUUGCACCUGGUGGCGAGUGGCGAACGGGUGAGUAAUAUAUCGGAACGUACCUUAUUGUGGGGGAUAACGCAGCGAAAGCUGUGCUAAUACCGCAUAAUCCCUAAGGGGGAAAGCGGGGGACCGUAAGGCCUCGCGCAAUUAGAGCGGCCGAUACCUGAUUAGCUAGUUGGUGAGGUAAAGGCUCACCAAGGCAACGAUCAGUAGCUGGUCUGAGAGGACGAUCAGCCACACUGGGACUGAGACACGGCCCAGACUCCUACGGGAGGCAGCAGUGGGGAAUUUUUGACAAUGGGGGCAACCCUGAUCCAGCAAUGCCGCGUGAGUGAAGAAGGCCUUCGGGUUGUAAAGCUCUUUUGUCAGGGAAGAAACAGCAGCUCUAACACAGUAUGCGAAUGACGGUACCUGAAGAAUAAGCACCGGCUAACUACGUGCCAGCAGCCGCCGUAA
rnacentral:rRNA from 1 species